rnacentral:lncRNA from 1 species
AAAUAUACAAGAGGUCACUUGCCUGCCACCUUUCAUCAUUACUUACCCACCAACAAGAGCUUUAAAAUGGUUCUGAAGAUAUGGGGAGAAAAUGAGUGAGAAACGACUAUAAAAUCUGGAAGCCAAGCUCCUUGAAAACAACUCAGGUGUCCACAUAGGGAAGUAAUUGGAGCCAGUUAGUGACUUAACAGCAAGAAACAACGGAAGAAAAUGAGAACACCAGCCAGAGCAAUGGAGAUGGGAAGAGAGGACUACGCGGUAUCCAGAAACAUCCUUCAGUCAAAAAAGCAACCCGAGUCAAGCCCUCAGAAAGGCUUCUCAUCCUCUGCCUUCAGUAGAUCCAGUGCCCAGAAAGAUGCCAAAGGGAAAGAUGACUUGGGGCCUUAA